UCAUUAGCCUUGAAAAUUCAGCAUAGCACAAACUCUUCCCAUAUACUUGGUCAAUUAAUAACCGACAGCAAUGCUCACUGUGGUCUAGUACAGGCUUCCACAGGUACGCUCUGUUUGCUUUUUCGAUAACACCAAUUAGCCUCACCUAUGAAUACAACCUGGAAAACAUUUGCUUGAGGAUUGUGUGACAAAUUCCAAUAUUAACAUUUUCAGGGGGGUGGCAGACAGCCGGGGGUGGGACCUUACUGUUUUACCUCAGGCAGGUCACCCCUGUUGAGAGGCAUACUGCCUCCAACGGCGAAGGGAAAACUUAAAGCCAUCAUGGCUUGUAGCUAUUGACAACCUUGUCCAUGAAUUUCUGCCUAAUUCCCUUCUAAAGCCAUCCAGGUUUGUGGCCAUUGCUGCAUCUUGUGGGAUCCGAUUCCACAGUUUAACUGUGUGCUGGGUGGGCUUCCUUUUGUCUGUCCUUUCAGCUUCAUUGCGAUAGCCCCAGCUUUUAGAAGUAUGAUGAGAGAGUCUGCCCGAUUUUAUCUAGGCCACACAUUGGCAAAGCUCUCGAGAGCUGCUUCCUCCCUGAUCCAUGAAUGGAGCCAGUUUGGUCUUCCUUCUGCCAUGACGCUUUUCCAGGGAGGUGUUUCUCUGUGUGGAACUGAGGGAAUCUCCUCCCUAAUCUGUUCGAAUAAAUGUAGCACCUUUAGAUAACUACAGUACUCAAAACACAAGUUUUUCCUCUCUUUUUUUAUGGCCCCUAAGUAUUAAGAAAGAGAUGGUGCAAACAAUCACUUAUGGAUUAAAUGACUAAAAUGGUGCCAUGGGUUAUUUAUUAAUCCCGGAACUGUAAAAGCAUAAAACCUGGAUAUUAAGAGACACCUGCCUUAUUAGACAACAACGUCCCUGCGUUCUAAGGAGAAAUGGGCAACUUUCAUGAUUUCCUGGUUGACUUAUUGACGCAGUUUCAGUCAAUAUUAUUCAUCUAGUUCAAUGCCUCUCAUUAUGAUGUGUGAGUAUGGAUGCAUGGGAUGUGUGAUUCAUCUAUUACAAGGACUCCAGAGAACAGAUCAGAGGAGAAAUUCAGUUCAUAUUUAAAGCCAACUAUUCGGCGCCACCACGAUUUUGAUGCCGAGCGAGAUGCCAAAAAGGUCCAUAAAGCUUGCAAAGGGAUGGGGACGGAUGAAAAAGUCAUUAUUGAGAUCUUGUCCAACCGUUCAUCAGACCAGAGACAGCAAAUGAAGCAGAAGUACCAAGCCAUAUAUGGCAAGGAUCUGGGAGAAGUGCUGAAAGGAGAGCUGAGUGGGGAUUUCGAAAAGACUGCCCUGGCCCUGCUGGACCAGCCAUGCGACUAUGAGGCCAGGCAGCUUCGGAAGGCAAUAAAAGGGGUGGGGACAGACGAGACGGUCCUGAUUGAGAUCCUGUGCACACGGGUCAACCAGCAAAUUUUAGCCAUAAAAUCUGCCUACCAAAGGAUCUUUGACAGGGAUCUGGAAUCUGACGUCAAAAGCGAUACUAGCGGGUCAGUGAGGAAGAUACUCCUCUCUGUGUUGAAGGCUAGCAGAGAUCAAGGAAUGGAGACUAAUGAAAACCUGGCUCAGAAAGAUGCCAAGGAUCUCUAUGAAGCAGGAGAAGGCCGUUGGGGAACUGACGAGCUGGCUUUCAAUGAUGUCUUGGCGAAGAGAAGCUACAUGCAGUUGAGGGCUACCUUUGAAGCCUACAAACAUCUGACUGGCAAAGAUAUUGAAGAUGCCAUUAAGAGCGAAACUUCUGGAGACCUUGAGAAGGCCUAUCUAACGCUUGAUGUGCCAGGGACUGCCAAGCCUAUUUUGCCACUCGCCUGUAUGAGUCCAUGAAGGGCGCAGGAACCGACGAGGAGACCUUGAUUCGCAUCCUGGUGACGAGGGCUGAGAUUGACCUUCAGACAAUCAAGGAGAGGUUUCAGCAGAUGUACAGCAGGUCUCUGGCCGAAGCCAUCCGAUCCGAGACUUCGGGAGAUUUCAGGAAGCUGCUGCUCUCCCUGCUGCACUGAGACCUUGUUGAAAAGAGGGGUGUCGAAAUGAAUGGCACGCUUAUAUACAUGAAGAAGUAGUAUUGAAAUAGCUCUAGCAGAUUACUACUUCAGUUGUAGGUGGUUGUUGUUUUUUAAUGAAGGCAACGAGCAGAAUUAUUUGCAAGGUUGGCCCUACCAUUGGGCAGAGUCAAGAGGCAGCCUCGGGCGGCUGAUACAGAGUGUCAUUAAACAGCAACAAAAUGUUAGUAAUUGGAUAUAUUGUUGUUGUGUUUUUAAUUUCCAAGAACAGGCACAUGGGAUUUUCCGCCUCAGCUUUGCCAGAAAAUCUGCUCUUUUCCUCGGAGGGGAGGCAAAGCAGCAAUUGCUCCUCUCUCUCAAGAAGCACAAUGUUGUGGACUGACGCCGCUUACCACACUUAGCAGUUCUUGAAAUAGGAGCUAGGCCUCCCCACAGAGCCAGAGGGACAGUAGCCAGCAUAGACUCAGCUUUCCCUCUGAACCUAUCCCAUGAGGUGACUAGAUCUGGCCAGGAACCAGAGGGCCUAUUCUUGGGUUGACUCUCACUUCUAGGAGCCCAUGGGAUGGAGCGUUUAGGUUCAAGUCCUACCUCUGUUAUAACUCGCUGUGUUACCACAUGUCAAACACUCCAUGCAUUUAAAGCACAAUGAUACCACUUUAAAUCAUCAUGGCUUCCCCAAAGGAAUUAUGGGAGCUAUUUUUCAUUAAGGAUGCUGAGAGUUGUUAGGAGACCCCUAUUCCCUCCCCAGAGCUACUUUUCCCUGAGUGGUUUAGCAAUCAGUCCCUUUGCACAGGAAAGCUAGCGCAAUGAUCCCCAUGUCUGAACGCACCCUUUGUAUUAGUGAAUCCCACAAGUUAAUUGAGCAGAAUAUACAGUAUUCCCUAAUGGCUCCCCUGAACCUAUUGCAACUCACCGCCUCUCACCCUCGGCCUUGUAAAAUGUGGGGCACAGUGACCCCCAUUAAUGCAAAACUAAAGGCAGAUUAGAAGGCAUUUGCAAAUCAGCAUGGCAAUUCCUUUCCACGUUCACCUGGUAAAGGUAAAGGGCCCCUGACCAUCAGGUCCAGUCAUGUCCAACUCUGGGGUUGCGGCGCUCAUCUCGCUCUAUAGGCCGAGGGAGCCGACGUUUGUCCGCAGACAGCUUCCGGGUCAUGUGGCCAGCAUGACAAAGCUGGUUCUGGCGAACCAGAGCAGCGCACGGAAACGCCGUUUACCUUCCCGCCGGAGCGGUCCCUAUUUAUCUACUUGCACUUUGAUGUGCUUUCAAACCGCUAGGUGGGCAGGAGCUGGGACCGAGCAACAGGAGCUCACCCCGUUGCAGGGAUUCGAACCACCGACCUUCUGAUAAGCAAGCCCUAGACUCUGUGAUUUAACCCACAGCGCCACCUGGUAAGGAGCCCUUCUGACCCUAGUGGAACUUGCUUUCAAGUAAACAUUCAUGUAACGGAAUUGCAUAAGCAAUAAGUUGCCCUAAGGGGUCAGUGGGGCGAAGCAUCUAUUUUUCCGCUCUAUUCUCGCACCGUAAAGUGUGUCAUGGGCAGCUGUAAUGUUGGACAUAAGAAAAUGUUGCAAGAUGAACUGUCUUUCAGGGCAGAACUUGAACAUCUCAAAAAGCAAAACGAAAAACAAGUGUUGCUGCCAAACGAAAAACAAAACCAAGAAACCCACCAGCGUCUUAAGUUUCUUACUUCUCCUCCAAACCAGCUUGGAUAACUUAACCCGUGUGCCCUCCUGGCUUCCUUAUGCUAUGUCAUAUUUCCCUGCCCUACAUCUUUGGCAUACACUGGCGGUGGUGGCUGAAGCACGUAGCAUAAUGGCUUACUUAAAGGCACAAGGUCCCUAGCAAGAUAUUAUUUUGCCCAACGUGGGGCUUGAACCCACAACCCUGAGAUUAAGUGUCUCAUGUCAUUUUAGUCAUGACCUCUGUUAAGGGUCAAGCCAGAUGUGCACUGGGACAUCUCUGGUAAGGAUCCCUUAUGGUUUUCAAAAUUGUGUGUUUGUUUAUUUCAGGGGUAUACAGUACUUGAAACUUUAAUGCAGGGUUGCCCAAACUUUUUCCAAAGAGGGCCAGAUUUGAUGAAGUGAACAUGUGUGAGGGCCGACCAAGGUUGUUGAGCUUUUUUAAGGAGCUUUCCCCCCCAAUUUUACCCCAAAGUUGUUGAGCUUUUAGGAGUUAGGAUUUUACCCCAGGACAUAUACUCCCACGGGGCCUGGAUUAAAUCUAUCGGCGGGCCGGAUUAGGCCCCUGAAACAGACUUUGGACAUGUCUGCUUUAAUGUAUGUGUGUACAUAAAAAUGUACACAUGUUCUGCCACAGUCUUAUGGGAAGAUUAACCUACGCAACUCGUGUUUGGUUCUGGUCCAAACUGGACUCCUGUAAAACUGCUAUUAUUUUGAUUUCGAUUUUGAUUACCACCAUCAUCAUCUUAAACCCAGGAGUGUCUGACACCGUGGAUUGCUUACAUCUGGUUUGAUGUUUACAUUUGAGGAGUGUCCAUAAGAGAAGUUGGUCUCCUGGCCUGAAGAGAAGCCCGAGAAUGCAGAUAUAUUACUGAGCUUGGCUUUAGGUGGAUAAGUAGUGGUCGCCUUAGAUUCCAGGAAAGGAGGAGUCCAAUGCAUGAGACGUGCAUAGCCCUUAAACCUCCAGUUGUACCGAUUGUCCUGUAAUAGGAGCACAAUGAAGCGGAUCUAUAAAUAACCACUCAAGUGUCCAGACGUUCAUACUAGGAUCGACUGUUGUUCUGAGCCCAGCAAUGCCUUUCACGGGGAGGGGGGGCACCGUCACAGAUACUAGCAAAGUCAAGAUCUCAUGAGACGGAAGUACAACCAGAUUGCAACAUAAGCAGAAGUGAAACUAAGUUCAAAAAUUAGGCACAACAGCUGAAAAUCUAAAAAUAAUGGAGCAGGGCCUCAGGGAAUUAAUAUGAGAAGCAAGAAAGCUAAGGGUCCAUUUCUCUGAGUUGUAUUAGCAAGGGAGCCACAAUUCAAACAGAAAUAUAUUAAAUGUUAUUAAUUUAGUUCUACUCAAAGUUCUUGGAGCUAAGCCCAAGCACAAAUCUUGACACAAUUGCAGUUAUUUGUGGUUAUUAAGGGACCAAUUAUUGCAAUAUACUUGGGCUGUGGACUGCUAUUCCAGUUGGCCAAUUACAUGCAUCAAAAAGAGGAAAGGAAAGAAAUAAAAGCAACGCAAAAGCAAAAAAAAGAGAGAACAACAGAUUGUACAGAUUUGCAUGGAAUUUGCAUAUGCGAAUUAAAAAUUCGUUUGUUUAUAUCCAAAUUUAGAAGCAGUGUCUAUAAUUUAAAUAAAAACACACUGGUGUGCGUACCCCAAUCUCUGAGUGGUGAGAGACUCCAGCGGUUCCAACACUUACUCAGGGUUUGGUUUCCUUGGAAUGAAGGUCAAUGGAGACUGUGGUGUCUUUAGGAUAUAUGGUUUUAUUUACACACAUAUGCAACCUGAGCAUAGGGUGGAAGGGCUCACAGCAUUAGCACUCCAGGAGACCAUGCUUCCCCGUUAGGUUUCUAGGGAGAGUCCCCCAAGUCAUAGCAUUGGAUACCAGUACAAAGAGUAAGAAGCCUUUCUGCCUUUCCAGCUCCCAGUCAACAUGCAGACCAGCCCUGGCUAUUGUUCUCCUACUUACAUGAUCAUGUUGCCUUCAUUCAGGUGAUGUGGUGGGGGGAAAUGCCCACCCCCAUGGACAUUAUCCCUUAGUUGUUUCCAGUGCUGUUUUUCUAGUACAGUGGUACCUCGGGUUACAGACGCUUCAGGUUACAGAUGCUUCAGGUUACAGACUCCGCUAACCCAGAAAUAGUACCUCGGGUUAAGAACUUUGCUUCAGGAUGAGAACAGAAAUCGUGCUCCGGCAGCGCGGCGGCGGCGGGAGGCCCCAUUAGCUAAAGUGGUGCUUCAGGUUAAGAACA